UACAGAGGUCCCGAGCGUUGUUCGGAUUCACUGGGCGUAAAGGGUGCGUAGGCGGACUAUUAAGUCAGUGGUGAAAGCCUGCAGCUUAACUGCAGAACUGCCAUUGAUACUGAUGGUCUUGAGUACAUUUGAGGUGGGCGGAAUGUGUCAUGUAGUAGUGAAAUACUUAGAUAUGACACAGAACUCCGAUUGCGAAGGCAGCUCACUAAACUGUAACUGACGCUGAGGCACGAAAGCGUGGGGAUCAAACAGG
rnacentral:rRNA from 1 species